ensembl:lincRNA
AUGCUCCUCCUCUCUUCUCCACUUCCCCCCUCCUGCUCUCCCUGGCCCGCUCCCUGUCCCCUGCUAUCCCAGUCUCAUCCUGGCCCCCUUUCCCUCCUAACUCCGCUGUCACUUCUCUCCUCUUGGUCCCUAGAAGUGAGAGUCCUGAGGCACAGGAAGAGCACCAAGUCUUUCAACAUGAUGUUCCCGAUGGGCGACAACUCGGAGCUACUGGCUGAGAUUAAGGCAGGCAAGAGCAUGAAGCCGAUGCCGCAGAGCAAGGGGCUGACCACAGUGUUCUCAGGCAGCGGGCAGCCGGCCUUCCAGGUAGGCGGGCCCAGCAGGAGCCUGCGACCCGGCUUCCCCGGCCCUAGGCCACCAGGCGCUCAGCCCCACCGCUUUUCCCUGCAGCCCAAUUUGCCGCUGCCGUCUGUGUCACCUGCACCGUCACCAGUCCGGAGCCCCACACCGCCAGCUGCGGGGUUUCAGCCGCUGCUCAACGGAAGCUUGGUUCCGGUGCCGCCCACUACUCCUGAGCUGGGGGUGCAGCUGGACGUGGAGGCGCUUAUCCCCACGCACGAUGAGCAGGGCCGUCCCAAGCCCGAGUGGAAGCGCCAGGUGAUGGUGGACAAGAUGCAGCUGAAGAUGUAGGAGGAGGAGCAGAGGUGGAAAGUGGGUGGGGCGGGGUGCCCAGGGAGCCCUGGGGUCUGCAUCUGGAUGCACAGCCCAUCCCCCACGCCACCCCCAACACCAACCUCGGGACCUCCUAUUUUCUUUCUUUCUUUCUUUUCUUUUUUCUUUUCGUGAGACAGAGUCUUGCUCUGUCGCCCAGGCUGGAGUGCAGUGGCGCGAUCUCGGCUCACUGCAAUCUUUGUCUCCUGGGUUCAAAUGAUUCUCCUGCCUCAGCCUCUCAGGUAGCUGGGAUUACAGGCGCAUGCCACCACGCCCAGCUAAUUUUUUUGUAUUUUUAUUAGAGACGGGGUUUCACCAUGUUGGCCAGGGCUGGGAUUACAGGCAUGAGCCACCGUGCCCGGCCAUUUUCCUUAGGGAAAGCAGGGUGGCACGACCCCUUUUGGGGCUUGUCCCAGUCUCCACACACACCCCAAGCAGCUUGUCCUUGGAAGUGAGACAGCAGCCUUUCUCAGACUCUCCUUCACCUGCCCAGCACCUGGGAUCUGGUUAAAAGGCCUGUUCGGAUUCAGGAGGUCUGGGCAGGGCUGAGGUUCUGCAUUUCUAGCCAGCUCCUGGGUGAGGCUGCUGAUGAUGCUGGUCCAAGGACCACACUGAGUAGCCAAGAGAGCUUUGGUCUCAGUCUUAGGGACCUGGGCUCCAUUGCUGCGCUGCCGCCUCCCAGCUGCCGAUACUGAGCCUCGUCCAGCCUCAGUUUCCUUCUCUGUAAGGUGGGCUGAUCAGCACCAGCUGGCAGGAUGAGUUGCCUUCCAUUCAUCCAACAACUAUUCCCCGAAUGCCAUUUAUUUUUAUUUUUAUUUUUAUUUUUUUUAUUUUUUUGAGACAGGGUCUCACUCUGUCACUGAGGCUGGAGUACAGUGGUGCGAUCUUGACUCACUGCAACCUCCACCUCCUGGGUUCAAGUGAUUCUCCCGUCUCAGCCUCCCGAGUAGCUGGGACUACAGAUGCCUGCCAACCAUGCCCGGCUAAUUUUUGUAUUCUUAGUAGAGAUGGGGUUUCACCAUGUUGGCCAGGCUGGUCUCAAACUCCUGGCUUCAAGUGAUCUGCCCGCCUCGGCCUCCCAAAGUGCUGGGAUUACAGGCGUGAGCCACCACGCCUGGCCCCCGAGUGCCAUUUAUGUGCCCCACACGCUUGUAGCCUCUGGGGAUUCAUGGUGAACAUAUCAAGGCCUGCUCUAAGGUGGCUGCGGACAUGUGUGCGAGUCACCAAGCACACAAAAUGGGGCAGUGUGAGAGAGUGGGUGGCAGUGGAGAGAAGUAUCUGGGCUGAUGCAACACAGCCAGCAGCAAUGGGGAACGCAGGGGACUGGGGCAGCCCUAACCGGCCACCUUAUAUGUGGGCUGGGGGGUGUGUUAGGGAAGGAGGAGGUGAUGUCUAAGGUGACACUUGGAAGACGAGUGAGCGGUGGCCAGGAGGAGAGGGGGCUGAAGA